CCCGCUGAGUUUAAGCAUAUAAAUAAGCGGAGGAGAAGAAACUUAGAAGGAUUCCCCUAGUAACGGCGAGCGAACCGGGAGCAGCCCAGCUUGAGAAUCGGGCAGCCGUGCCGUCAAAAUUGUAGUCUGGAGAGGCAUCCUCAGUGACGGACCGGGCCCAAGUCCCCUGAAAAGGGGCGCCUAGGAGGGUGAGAGCCCCGUCCGGCCCAGACCUUGUCGCCCCACGAGGCGCCGUCAACGAGACGGGUUGUUUGGGAAUGCAGCCCAAAUCGGGUGGUAGACUCCGUCCAAGGCUAAAUACAAGCGAGAGACCGAUAGCGAACAAGUAUCGCGAGGGAAAGAUGAAAAGAACUUUGAAAAGUGUCAAAGAGUGCUUGAAAUUGUCGGGAGGGAAACGGAUGGGGGCCGGCGAUGCGUCCUGGCCGUAUGCGGAACGGCUUUUGCUGGUCCGCCGCUCGGCUCGGGGCAUGUACUGUUGUCGGCCGUGCUGGCGACCCAAGCCCGGGGUCCUUAGGUGCCCUCGGUGGCCGUCGGUGGCACGGCUGGUACAUGCGCGCCGCAAGGCGUGUCCCUUGGGGCACUGCGCUGCAACAGCCUGCGGGCUCCCUAUCCGACUUGAAACACAG
rnacentral:ncRNA from 1 species